rnacentral:misc_RNA from 1 species
AUUUUUCCCAGUGAAAGUAAGAACUACAUUAUCAUUAAUAAGGACACCGAACAGGGUUAAUUCAGUGUAUGUUAGAAGUUUGCGUUAUAAUAUAAUUCACUAAAUCCAAUUUAUUAGAAAAGGAAUUUCCUGUCUACUCUUUACUUUCUGCAAGGGAAAAAAAAUUGUAGCAUUUAUAUUGUGCUUGCAUGUUAAUUAAUAGUAGCACGAACCUG